CCUACGGGUGGCAGCAGUGAGGAAUAUUGGUCAAUGGACUUACGUCUGAACCAGCCAUGCCGCGUGCAGGAAGACGGCCCUAUGAGUUGUAAACUGCUUUUGUACAAGGGUAAACCUGAAUACGUGUAUUCAGCUGAAAGUACUGUACGAAUAAGGAUCGGCUAACCUCGUGCCAGCAGACGCGGUAAGACGGAGGAUCGAGGCGUUAUCCGGAUUUAUUGGGUUUAAAGGGUGCGUAGGGGGAUAGAUAAGGUAGAGGUGAAAUGGCCGGGCUUAACUCGGGAACUGCCUCUAAUACUGUUGAUCUAGAGAGUAGGAGAGGUAGGCGGAAUGUGUGGUGUAGCGGUGAAAUGCUUAGAGAUCAUACAGAACACCGAUUGCGAAGGCAGCAUACC
rnacentral:rRNA from 1 species